rnacentral:rRNA from 1 species
GACGAACGCUGGCGGCGUGCUUAACACAUGCAAGUCGAACGCUGAAGCCCUUCGGGGUGGAUGAGUGGCGAACGGGUGAGUAACACGUGGGUAAUCUGCCCUGCACUCUGGGAUAAGCCCUGGAAACGGGGCCUAAUACCGGAUAGGACACAUCGCCGCAUGGUGGGUGUGUGGAAAGUUCCGGCGGUGCAGGUUGAGCCCGCGGCCUAUCAGCUUGUUGGUGGGGUGAUGGCCUACCAAGGCGACGACGGGUAGCCGGCCUGAGAGGGUGACCGGCCACACUGGGACUGAGACACGGCCCAGACUCCUACGGGAGGCAGCAGUGGGGAAUCUUGCGCAAUGGGCGAAAGCCUGACGCAGCAACGCCGCGUGGGGGAUGACGGCCUUCGGGUUGUAAACCUCUUUCGACCGGGACGAAGGAUUCGUUUGACGGUACCGGUAGAAGAAGCACCGGCUAACUACGUGCCAGCCGCCGCCGUAA